CAGGGAGACCCGGGACAGUCAGGUGUAGAGUCUCAGGGAGACCAGGGACAGUCAAGUGUAGAGUCUCAGGUAAGUGUGUUGAGUUUAGUUCAUAUUUUUGGAGGUGUGUGGCUGUCAGGGAGAGCAGAUGAGCUUUACCAGCGGCUCAGUAAUUUACAUUAUGAUCAGCUAAUUUAACAAGUGUACAAAACCAUUGUAUUUCUUUUUAUAUGAGGAUACUUUAAAAAAAAAAAAGUCACUAUAUGUUUUAAGGUAUUUUUGUGGCUUGAUUGUAAAUAACUUAAAACUAAAGAAAUGGCUUU